AUUUAAAUAAAAUUAUUGAUUUUUUGCCAGAAAUGAAGCUGAAGUUGGACAAGGUCUCAAGGAAUCAGGAGUAAAACGAGAAGACAUAUUUGUGGUAACCAAACUUUUGACGGGACGUCAUGGAUACGAUGAAUGUCUGAAAGAAUUUAAUGCGAGUCUUCAAAAGUUUGACUCAAAGUACGUUGAUUUGUACCUAAUCCAUAGUCCCUCUUCUGGAAAAAACAUUGAUUCCUUCAAAGCAAUGAUGAAACUCAAGGAACAAGGCCUAAUAAGAUCCAUUGGUGUGUCCAACUUUGGCGUGAAUCACCUCAAAGAGAUGGAAAAGGCGGGGCUACCUACUCCAGCUGUCAAUCAAAUUGAGCUCAAUCCCUAUUGGCGCUUGGAAGACAUCGUGAACUACUGUAAAGAAAAAGGAAUUGCCUUAAUGGGUUACUGUCCAAUAUUUCGUGCCCGGAAGAACGAUGAC